ensembl:ncRNA lncRNA:CR43826 long non-coding RNA:CR43826
UCUGUGACACAACCAAUCAAGUAAGCGUUACAAAAUAAAGUACGAGAUUGCAUACUGUUCAGAACAACUUCAUAAUUCUAUUACUUCUACCACGAGUUUUAACUCGGACCGUUGGCGAUGCAAAUUUCUAUCCGCCGAAUAACGAACCGUGAUGAAAGUUUUUGCCACUCCGGUCCAUGAUACUUCAAUCCAACUCCUAUUCAUCCAGGCGGAGACAAUCAAUUACAAUAUCUCCCGACGGACCAGAGGCCAUGUAAGAGGGUGUCUGCAUGUGAGGAUCUAGUAGACAAACCCACGCAUGGUCAACUGUGCAAAUGUAACUGAGAGGACAUGGGUUCGACGAAGCGUGGUGGUUCUGGUUGGAUAUUCCUAGCGACCAUACGUCGGUUUUAAAUGGUACCGCAAGGCAGGAUGUGUAAUUGAGAUGUAAUUUUAAUUGCAAUGUUUUGGUGACAAAAAUAGAGUGAUGGAAUAAAAGUACUUUUAUAGACUUUUAUAGGAAGAAAAAUCGUUAAGUUACCAUAUAAAUUGCAAAUU